AAUAGUAUAACACUAGUUCUAAUAUAAUAUUUUUUCCUGACGCCAUCAUGGGAUUCGUCGUGAAGAUUUGUCUACUUUUAACUCUUUUGAGUAUCUUCAUCUUGCAAGGAAAUGGUGCCCCACAAACUAUGCCAGAAUAUCAACCAAGACGCCUUUUCGAUACUGGAUUUCACGUUGGAUUAGGAUAACCACUGUUUCAAUAAUUCCAAGAAUAUCGUGUAUACUGUGUUAUAAUUUAAUUGUAUACGAUGAUUCAACAGCUCCUACGAGCUAGAAAAUGAAUAAAUAAAUAAUCAAAUUUGUAUCUUGCAA